AUUGAACGCUGGCGGCAUGCCUUACACAUGCAAGUCGAACGGUAACAGGUCUUCGGAUGCUGACGAGUGGCGAACGGGUGAGUAAUACAUCGGAACGUGCCCGAUCGUGGGGGAUAACGAGGCGAAAGCUUUGCUAAUACCGCAUACGAUCUACGGAUGAAAGCGGGGGAUCUUCGGACCUCGCGCGGACGGAGCGGCCGAUGGCAGAUUAGGUAGUUGGUGGGAUAAAAACUUACCAAGCCGACGAUCUGUAGCUGGUCUGAGAGGAUGAUCAGCCACACUGGGACUGAGACACGGCCCAGACUCCUACGGGAGGCAGCAGUGGGGAAUUUUGGACAAUGGGCGAAAGCCUGAUCCAGCCAUGCCGCGUGCAGGAUGAAGGCCUUUGGGUUGUAAACUGCUUUUGUACGGAACGAAAAGCCUCUUUCUAAUAAAGAGGGGUCAUGACGGUACCGUAAGAAUAAGCACCGGCUAACUACGUG
rnacentral:rRNA from 1 species